CCGACGGGUGAGUAACACGUAUGCAACCUGCCUGCCACAGCCGGAUAAUCGGGAGAAAUUCCGUCUAAUACGGCAUAAUGCAUCGACGGGACAUCCUGUUGGUGCCAAAGGUUGAUUCCGGUGGCGGAUGGGCAUGCGUCGCAUUAGUUAGUUGGCGGUGUAACGGACCACCAAGACGACGAUGCGUAGGGGUUCUGAGAGGAAGGUCCCCCACACUGGUACUGAGACACGGACCAGACUCCUACGGAAGGCAGCAG
rnacentral:rRNA from 1 species